AUAAGCGGAGGAAAAGAAACCAACAGGGAUUCCUUAGUAGCGGCGAGUGAAGCGCCAAAAGCUCAAAUUUGAAAUCUGCCACUUUCAGUGUCCGAGUUGUAAUUUGAAGAAGGUAUCUUGGGGUCUGGCUCUGGUCUAUGUUUCUUGGAACAGAACGUCACAGAGGGUGAGAAUCCCGUGCGAUGAGAUGACCCAGACCUAUGUAAAGUUCCUUCGAAGAGUCGAGUUGUUUGGGAAUGCAGCUCUAAGUGGGUGGUAAAUUCCAUCUAAAGCUAAAUAUUGGCGAGAGACCGAUAGCGAACAAGUACAGUGAUGGAAAGAUGAAAAGAACUUUGAAAAGAGAGUGAAAAAGUACGUGAAAUUGUUGAAAGGGAAGGGCUUGAGAUCAGACUUGGUAUUUUGUAUGUUACUCUUUCGGGGGUGGCCUCUACAGUUUACCGGGCCAGCAUCAGUUUGGGCGGUAGGAGAAUUGCAAAGAAAUGUGGCACUGCUUCGGUAGUGUGUUAUAGUCUUUGUCGAUACUGCCAGCCUAGACUGAGGACUGCGGCUUCGGCCUAGGAUGUUGGCAUAAUGAUCUGA
rnacentral:rRNA from 1 species